UACGUAGGGUGCGAGCGUUGUCCGGAAUUACUGGGCGUAAAGAGCUCGUAGGUGGUUUGUCGCGUUGUUCGUGAAAACUCACAGCUUAACUGUGGGCGUGCGGGCGAUACGGGCAGACUGGAGUACUGCAGGGGAGACUGGAAUUCCUGGUGUAGCGGUGAAAUGCGCAGAUAUCAGGAAGAACACCCGUGGCGAAAGCGGCUCUCUGGAACGGUACUGACGCUGAGGAGCGAAAGCGUGGGGAGCGAACAGG
rnacentral:rRNA from 1 species